rnacentral:rRNA from 1 species
AACGAACGCUGGCGGCAUGCCUAACACAUGCAAGUCGAACGAGUCCUUCGGGCCUAGUGGCGCACGGGUGCGUAACGCGUGGGAACCUGCCCUUAGGUUCGGAAUAACUCCCCGAAAGAGGUGCUAAUACCGGAUAAUGUCUUCGGUCCAAAGAUUUAUCGCCUUUGGAUGGGCCCGCGUUGGAUUAGCUAGUUGGUAGGGUAAAACCCUCCCAAGGCGACGAUCCAUAGCUGGUCUGAGAGGAUGAUCAGCCACACUGGGACUGAGACACGGCCCAGACUCCUACGGGAGGCAGCAGUGGGGAAUAUUGGACAGUGGGCGAAAGCCUGAUCCAGCAAUGCCGCGUGAGUGAUGAAGGCCUUAGGGUUGUAAAGCUCUUUUACCCGGGAUGAUAAUGACAGUACCGGGAGAAUAAGCUCCGGCUAACUCCGUG